UGGGGAAUAUUGCACAAUGGGCGAAAGCCUGAUGCAGCAACGCCGCGUGAGGGAUGACGGCCUUCGGGUUGUAAACCUCUUUUAGUAGGGAAGAAGCGAAAGUGACGGUACCUGCAGAAAAAGCACCGGCUAACUACGUGCCAGCAGCCGCGGUAAUACGUAGGGUGCAAGCGUUGUCCGGAAUUAUUGGGCGUAAAGAGCUCGUAGGCGGUUUGUCGCGUCUGCUGUGAAAUCCCGAGGCUCAACCUCGGGUCUGCAGUGGGUACGGGCAGACUAGAGUGUGGUAGGGGAGAUUGGAAUUCCUGGUGUAGCGGUGGAAUGCGCAGAUAUCAGGAGGAACCCCGAUGGCGAAGGCAGAUCUCUGGGCCAUUACUGACGCUGAGGAGCGAAAGCAUGGGGAGCGAACA
rnacentral:rRNA from 1 species